rnacentral:rRNA from 1 species
AAAGCCUUCGGGUGAGUAAAGCGGCGGACGGGUGAGUAACACGUAGGAAUUUGCCCAGUAGUGGGGGAUAACGUUUCGAAAGGAACGCUAAUGCCGCAUACGCCCUACGGGGGAAAGGGGGCUUCGGCUCUCGCUAUUGGAGAAGCCUGCGUCGGAUUAGCUAGUUGGUGGGGUAAAGGCCUACCAAGGCGACGAUCCGUAGCUGGUCUGAGAGGAUGAUCAGCCACAUCGGGACUGAGACACGGCCCGA